AUGGCCACAAAUAGGCGAAAACACCAUUUCCCGUCCUAUCACAGCAGUGAAGCGUUUGGGAUGUCGUUAGUACUGUGGCUGGAGACAACAUGGGAAUUCGGUAGGCUGAAAAAUUUU